GUAAAGUUUGAUUCUUGCUUAAAAUUAUUGCUUUAUGCUAAAAAUGUAUAUGGAAACUUCAGUUCAAUUAAAAUUUAAAAAAUAAAAAUUUCAAUAUAUAAUAUUAGACAAUUAGUUAUAGCUAGAUCUGGUUAUCAUAAUUUCUCUGGCAAAAUCUUGUGCCAGCUGCCGCGGUUAUACUUUAAGAGAUAGUAAUAAAAAAUUGGUGAUAGUUAACUCUAAUAAAAAAUUAAUUGUAUAAACAAAGGGUGAAAUCAGAUUGUAUAAUAUUAUUAAUUUUAUCAAAAAGUGAAACUAAAAAAAUUAAAAAAUAAACUAGGAUUAGAUACCCUAUUAUAUUUAAUAUAAAUUAAAUUACCUGACUAUUAAUAGUUAUAUACUUUAAAAUCAAAGAAUUUGGCGGUAUUUUAGUCCAAUUAGAGGAACCUGUUUUAUAAUCGAUAAUCCUCGUAAUAUCUUACUUGUUUUAGUAGUUUGUAUACCGUCAUUAUCAGAUAACAUUGAGAGAUAAAGUUAUUGAAAUUAAUUAUUUAAGUAAAUUAGAUCAAGGUGCAGCUUAUAAACAAGUAAAAAUGGGUUACAAUAAUAAUUUUUAAUACGAAUUAUAUACUGCAUAAAAUAUAUGAAGGUGGAUUUAUUUGUAAUCUCUUUUUAAAAAGAAGUUUUGAAUAUGGCUCUAAAAUAAGUACAUAUCGCCCGUCGCUUUCACUAAUAGGUGAGAUAAGUCGUAACAUAGUAGGUGUAUUGGAAAAUGUACCUAGAAAUAC
rnacentral:ncRNA from 1 species